rnacentral:rRNA from 1 species
UACGUAGGGCGCAAGCGUUAUCCGGAAUUAUUGGGCGUAAAGAGCUCGUAGGCGGUUUGUCGCGUCUGCCGUGAAAGUCCGGGGCUCAACUCCGGAUCUGCGGUGGGUACGGGCAGACUAGAGUGAUGUAGGGGAGACUGGAAUUCCUGGUGUAGCGGUGAAAUGCGCAGAUAUCAGGAGGAACACCGGUGGCGAAGGCGGAUCUCUGGGCCUUACCUGACGCUGAGGCGCGAAAGCUAGGGGAGCGAACGGG